rnacentral:rRNA from 1 species
AGUGAACGCUGGCGGUAGGCCUAACACAUGCAAGUCGAACGGCAGCACAGAGGAGCUUGCUCCUUGGGUGGCGAGUGGCGGACGGGUGAGGAAUACAUCGGAAUCUACUCUGUCGUGGGGGAUAACGUAGGGAAACUUACGCUAAUACCGCAUACGACCUACGGGUGAAAGCAGGGGAUCUUCGGACCUUGCGCGAUUGGAUGAGCCGAUGUCGGAUUAGCUAGUUGGCGGGGUAAAGGCCCACCAAGGCGACGAACCGUAGCUGGUCUGAGAGGAUGAUCAGCCACACUGGAACUGAGACACGGUCCAGACUCCUACGGGAGGCAGCAGUGGGGAAUAUUGGACAAUGGGCGCAAGCCUGAUCCAGCCAUACCGCGUGGGUGAAGAAGGCCUUCGGGUUGUAAAGCCCUUUUGUUGGGAAAGAAAUCCAUCUGGUUAAUACCCGGGUGGGAUGACGGUACCCAAAGAAUAAGCACCGGCUAACUUCGUGCCAGCAGCCGCAGUAA